CGUAACAGUACCCUCUCACCAUUCUUUCUCUCUCACCCUAACAUUACCUCACUUCUCUCUCACCGCUGCCGUUACAAAAUCGAUUCACACCGCCGCCGUAAGAAACUCCUUCCAUCUCAGUUAAAGAAGAAGCUCUCAAACCCCAUCGAUUUGGAUUUCAUACCUCUCUCACACGAAGAAACCCCAUCGGUGAAACAAUCUCUCCGACGAAGAAGCCCCUCACUCUCAUUUCAGGAUACGAGCUAAGUAUUAUACAAAAGUAAAAUUGUUCUUCUCUUCAUUUUUUCUGCAAACACUCUCUCCGACGAAGAAGCCUCUCCCUUGGAAGUUUCUUUUUCUCCGACGAAGAAGCUCCAGUCGCAAUCUUCCUAUCAUUUUCACUUUGUUGAAGCUCAAGAGGAAGAAUCAUAAGGGUUUCUUGCAUUAUUCAGAGGCAUUGAGUGAGUUUAUUUCUCACUCUCAAGAGGGGUCUUCCUUGGCCUAACGACUACAAGAAAAAAAAGACGAAGACAUUUUGGAUUGGCUUGGGUCGAUGUUCGGAUUUCAGAAGCACAAUGUUACAAAUCAGAGAGAGCAUUUGAUCUUAUUGCUUGCUAAUGUUCACAUAAGAUAAUUUCCAAAGCCUGAUCAGCAGCCCAAGGUCAGUUUUUGAUUUCAAGCAUUAGUACAGUACAUAUUUUCAAUUUAACUUUUGUAGAAAACUGUUUUAAUUUAUUUAAUUUUUCAAGAAAAUGUAAAGCAAAGGUAAAAAAACAAAUGAAGAAUGAAGAGCGUGUU